GAUGAACGCUGGCGGCAUGCCUAAUACAUGCAAGUCGAACGAACUAGUUUACUAGUUAGUGGCGAACGGGUGAGUAACACGUAGGUAACCAACCCAUUAGACGAGGAUAACCGAUGGAAACGUCGGCUAAUAUUGGAUAGGAUGCAUUUUCAGAAGAGAGUGUAUUUAAAGGUAGCUUUCGGGCUAUGCUAAUGGCUGGGACUGCGUCGCAUUAGCUAGUUGGUGGGAUAAUAGCCUACCAAGGCAACGAUGCGUAGCUGGGCUGAGAGGCUGAACAGCCACACUGGGACUGAGACACGGCCCAGACUCCUACGGGAGGCAGCAGUAGGGAAUUUUCGGCAAUGGACGAAAGUCUGACCGAGCAAUGCCGCGUGAACGAAGAAGGUCUUCGGAUUGUAAAGUUCUGUUAUUUGGAAAGAAAGUGCAUCAUAGGAAAUGAUGAUGUAUUGACGGUACCGAAUGAGGAAGCCCCGGCUAACUAUGUGCCAGCAGCCGCGGUAAUACAUAGGGGGCAAGCGUUAUCCGGAAUUAUUGGGCGUAAAGCGUGCGUAGGCGGAAUGUUAAGUCAUUUGUAAAAGAUCUCAGCCCAACUGAGUAAGGCGAAUGAAACUGGCAAUCUUGAGUACGGUAGAGGUAAGUGGAAUUCCAAGUGUAGCGGUGGAAUGCGUAGAUAUUUGGAGGAACACCGAUGGCGAAAGCAGCUUACUGGGCCGGAACUGACGCUGAGCACGAAAGCGUGGGGAGCAAACA
rnacentral:rRNA from 1 species